UUAUCCUGAAAAGGUAGAUGUUAUGAGCUUUGUGUUUCAGAGUAAGAAAUUUGUACUGAGAGGCCGGGUGAUUUGCCGGGAAUCACACAAAUCGUCGACGGUAGAGCUGGGAUUGGAAUCCAGAACGGUGCGGAUGUGAAGUCCAAGCUCUUCUCCCUGGCUCUGUCAUCUUCCUCCUCAGCAGAAUGACCAUCCUAAAUGUCUGGAGUAGGGGGCCAGGAGUGCUUUGGUGCCACAUAGAGAUUUCUAUUCCUGUUACUUGGGCCUGGCGAAGACCCUGUUUCGGGAAGGAGGAGACUCUCUGGCCCAUGUGCCGUAAGGACAUUUUGGGCUCACAACUGCAGGGGUGUUCCGGCCUUAUUGUGACUCUCAGAGCUUCACCGACAACAGCCACGAGGACUUACUUCUUAAAAUGAAGCAUUUCCCUUUGGUCACCAACCAAGAGGAUAGAACAGUAAGGUUUUUGGGGAACAGGCAGUAUUCGGUUACAUGAGUAAGUUCUUUAGUGAUUUGUGAGAUUUUGGUGCAUCCAUUUCCUGAGCAGUAUACACUGAACCCAAUUUGUAGUCUUUGAUUGCUCACCCGCUUCCCAUCCUUUCCUCCUGAGUUCCCAAAGUCCACUGUGUGAUUCUUGUAUUUUUGCAUCCUCAUAGCUUAGCUCCCACUUAUGAGUGAGAACAUAUGAUGUUUGGUUUUCCAUUCCUGAGUUACUUCACUUAGAAUAAUAGUCUCCAAUCCCAUCCAGGUUGCUGUGAAUGCCAUUAAUUUAAUCCUUUUUAUGGCUGAGCAGUAUUCCAUUGUAUAUAUAUGUGUGUGUAUAUAUAUAUGUAUAUAUAUAUGUGUGUAUAUAUAUGUAUAUAUAUAUGUGUGUAUAUAUAUGUAUAUAUAUAUGUGUGUAUAUAUAUGUAUAUAUAUAUGUGUGUAUAUAUAUGUGUAUAUAUGUAUACACACACACACACCACAGUUUCUUUAUCCACUCGUUGACUGAUGGGCAUUUUGGUUGAUUCCACAUUUUUGCAAUUGCGAAUUGUGCUGCUACAUGCAUGAGCAAGUAUCUUUUUCGUAUAAUGACUUCUUUUCUUCUGGGUAGAUACCCAGUAGAGAGAUUGCUGGAUCAAAUGGUAGUUCUACCUUUAGUUCCUUAAGGAAUCUCCACACUGUUUUCCAUACUAGUUUAUAUUCCCAUGGGUUUGCCCACUUUUAAAUGGGGUUAUUUCAUUGCUGUUGUUAUUCUUGCAAAUUCUGGAUAUCAGUUCCCUGUUGGAUACACAGUUGGCAAAUAUUUUCUCCCUUUCGUCAGAAUGUUUGUUCACUCUGUCCUUUUGUGCUGCAGAAGCCUUUUAGUUUACUUAAGUCCCAUGUCUAUUUUUGUUUUUGUUGCUUGUGCUUUUGAGGUCUUAGUCAUGAAUUAUUUGACUAGACCAAUGACCAGCAAUUUUCCCUAGGUUUUCUUCUGAUAUUUUUAGUUUCAGGUCUUACAUUUAAGUUCGUGAUCCAUCUUGAGUUGGUUUUCAUAUAUGGUGAGAGGUAGGGGUCCAAUUUCAUUCUUCCACAUAUGGCAAUCCAAUUUUCCCAGCACCAUUUAUUGAAAAGGUGGUCCUUUCUCCAGUGUAUGUUUUUGUCAGCUUUGUCAAAGAUUGUUGGCUUUGUCAAAGAUAUGUGGCUUUAUUUUUGAGUUCUCUAUUCUGUUCCAUUGAUCUGUUUUUAUACCAAUACUAUGCUGUUUUGGUUACUAUAUCUUUGUAGUAUAGUUUGAGGUCAGAUAAUGUGAUGCCUGCAGCUUUGUUCUUUUUGCUUAGGAUUGCUUUGGCUAUUUGGGCUCCUUUUUGGUUACAUAUGAAUUUUAAGAUGUUAUAAUUCUGUGAAAAAUGAUGUUGGUAUUUUGAUAGGGAUUGCAUUGCAUAUGUAGAUUGCUUUGGGCAGUAUGGUCAUUUUCACAAUAUUAAUUCUUCCAAUCUAUGAAUAUGGCAUUUUUCCCAUCUGUCUGUAUCAUCUAUGAUUUCUUUCAUCAGUGUUUUGUAGUUUUCCUUGUGGAGAAUUUUCAUCUUCUUGGUUAAGUAUCUUCCUAGAUAUUCACUUUUUUUUUUUUUGUAGCUAUUGUGAAUGGGAUUGUGUUCUCGAUUUUCUCAGCUUGAUUGUCAUCAGUAUAUCAAAAUGCCAUAAAUGGUUUUGUUAUCUUUUAAAAAGCAAUCUAGAAAGUGUAGCAAUUUUCAAUUUCUGCUGUAACUUAUCACAAAUUAGUGGAUUAAAACACAAAUGUAUUAUCUCACAGUUCUGGAGGUCAGAAGUCUGAAAUGAGUCUAUAAAAUGGGGCUGAAAUCAAGAUGUUGGUAGAGCUGUGUUUUAGAAGCAUUAGGGAAGAAUCCCUUUCCUUGCCUUUUCCAGCUUCCAGAGGCCACCUGCUUUCUUUGGCUUGUGGGCCCUUUCUCCAUCCUCAAAUCCAGCUGUGGAGCAUCUUCAAAUGUCUCUCUCUGACCUUUGCAUCAUUGACCAAUUCUCUUGCCUCCAUCUUUCCCUCAUAACGAUCCUUGUGACUACAUUGGGUCUACUAGAAAAAUUCAGGCUAUUCUCCUAUCAAGAUCCUUAAUGUAAUCACAUCUGCAAAGUUCUUUUUGACAUCUGAAGGCUACAUAACAAACACAUGCAUAGGUUCUGAGGAUUAGGACAUGGACAUACUUGGAUAAUCAUUCUGUCGAACACAAAAAAGAUUAAUUUGUUUUGUUUUAGAGUUUGUUCUUCAAACAAUGAGCUGUUGGACUGACCACUUCUGUUUUUUAAUUUAUUGAUUUCAGCUUUUACAUUUUUUUGAGAUUAAUUUUGUAGUUUUUUUUUAAAAUAUAAGUUUUUAGUAGAAUGCUUAAUUCAGUUAAUCUUAUUCUAUUAAGGAAAGUGUUCAGGUGUACAAAUUAUCCUCUGUGUAGAAUGUUAAUUGUGUCCCACCAAUUGUAUAUAGUACUUUCAUUAUUAUUUUCUAGAUAUUCUCCAAUUUUGUUUUCGAUUUCUUCUUUGUUCAAGGAAUCACUUAACAAUUAUUUUUGAGCUUUUAAUUGGUUGAUUUUUGUUGUAACUGUUGUUUCUACAUUAGUUUUAUGUCAUGGUAGUUAUAGGGUACAUUCUGCACCAUAUCUACUUUAGCAAAUACAUUGUUAUAUACGUGUGUGCAUGUACCCUAUAAUUACAUGUAUCAUGAGUAUAAAAUGAUGUGCAUUCUCUAUUUGCAGAGUUUAAACAUAUGUGUUAUUAGUUAUUAUUCAGAUCCACUGUAUCUUGGAGAUAAUGUCUACACUAGGUCAUAAUUUUUUUUUUAUAGCAGCAUAAUGUUCCAUUAUAUGGAUGUACCAUACUUUAUUUAAAUAGCCCUUAUGGAUAGAUAACUGAAUUGUCUUUUUAACAAAGCUGUAAUGAAAAAAUUUUAUACAUACCAUUUUGUAACUGUGAAUGUAUAUCUGAAUGAUAAAUGGUUUAAUGUGGAAUUUCUGAAUCUAAGGCUACAUGAGAGUAUUAUUUUUCUUCUUAGUCCCUUUCCUUUGCUCUGUUAAUUCUGUUUAAAUCUGACUCAAUUAUUUUAUCUACUGAAUCACAUCAUCCAUGUUUUCUUAACUUUUUUUGAGACUUCAAAGCCAUUGUAUUCUAAACUUUUUUCCUCUUUCCUCAGAAAAUGUUCCUUCUUCCAAAUGUACCCCAGCUUUCUUUUGGUGUUUUCUCUCCUCCUCCCAGCCUUCCCCUUCACCCCACAUUUUUGGCAUAGUUCCCCUGCUAUUUUCAUUUGGGAUAUUUCACUUUGUGAUUAUUCACGGCCCCAAAAUAAUCUGCAUUCAGUAUCUUUAAUUCUCCUAUUUGCUUGUCGCAAUUUUCAUUAUUACCUAUAAUUAUGUUGGGUGCAAGUAAUAUUUUAAUGGCUGUGGGUGUAUUAUAAAAUAUUUGAAUGUAUUAUUACAUGUUAAUUUCCUUUGCAUUUAACUGUAUUUCAUUGAUUUUUAUUAUAUAUGUUGUUCACAUUUUAAUGCUUCUGGAAUCAGGAUGUAAUACCAUUAACAUGCAAAUCAAUAUUAUAGUACUUUAUCUUUUUUCUAGAAAAAUAUGUUUUUAAAUAGUGAGGCUUACAAUUGAUGGUGUAUUGAAACCAAGUAAACAAGGUAUUUCCUGUCACACUGAAUGUGUUGUCAAGCACAGUACAUGUAAAACUUCCUAGAUCCUUUUUAAGUUGGUGUAAAAUUGAAAUCUGUAAUACGUGUUAUAUUUGUUCCCUAUUUUAAGCAUAGAUGAAUUCUAUGUUUCUAUUUUUUUUUCUUUUCAUAUCCUUGGGUUUUGCUGUGUGUGGGUGUGACACUUAACCGUCUUUCCAGAAAUGUUUAUCACUAAAUCCUGAAAGAAGAGUCUACAAAUUUCCAUAUGAUUUUGUAGGACUCUCAAAACCCUGUAACAUCUCUUUCUGCAAAAAUUUGUUGGAGUAAGGGGUAUAUUUGAUAAAGACAUUAGGCAAAAGGCCUAUGUGUGCACACAACUGUUAUAAUGAAAAUCCAAGGAAGAAAGGCAAAUUUGUAACAUUAGAAUUUCUAUGUGGACCACAUUUGGAAAGCAGUGUUAAUUUAAUCCAUACAUAAUAUCAAAGGAUGCUUUGGUGUGUGCUCAUCUUCAAAGGAAGCAUUCAGGAAAACAUGACACAAUAAGCCAAGACUCUAAUAACCUCACAUUCUGGAACUUCAGUAAAAACAGACCAGUACAAUACCUUUAUUCUAUCUUUACAGCAACUUUUUCUGUAACCUUCUGAUUAGGCUAAAUUAAACAUAUGUUCAAGUUUGGUUCUAUAAAUUAAAUCUUUUUUUAUAAAUGCAAAAUCUAUAUAUUAUUUUUAAAACCUGUUUUACACAUUAGAAAUAAGACAGAACUAAAUAUUUAUCGAGAUAAGUUAGGGUAGUUUCUUGGCCAUGAAGAAAUAAGUUAGAAGCCGUUCUAAGUUUUGUUGUAAGAAGAAAAAAUUGUACUAUUCAAACUAAAAUCUCCUGGAACACUAAAAAGACAUGUCAAUGUGAAUAUCCCUGACAUCCGAAAGAAUCUGGAUCAAAGGCAAACUUUCAACCAAACAGAUGCCAAAAAGUAAAUUGUCUUCCUAAGACAGGAAGCUGGCCAUUUUCUUUCCUUGCUGAGCUUAAAUUUUCCAUGAACUAUAUACCAUGUAUUCGAUCACACACAAACCCAAAUAAUAGGAUCAUACACUGUUCCCCCCUUUUUUUUUUUUUUUUAAGAGAUAGGAUCUCGCUACAUUGACCAGGCUGGAUUCAAACUCCUGAGUUCAAGCGAUCCUCUCACCUCAACCCCCGACCGAGUAGCUGGGACUACUGGUGUGUGCCACCAUGCCCAGCUUUCAUACACUCUUGUAAUACAUAAACAUGAGACUCUGGGAUUAGAAGUAAAACCUUCAUGGAGAUGAAGCUGAGGUAAACUGUUAUUAGUGACACCUGACCUGCUCUUUUGUAUGACUCAGAUUUUUACUAGUACUUUUGUAAAAAGGGAACAAGCUUCAAAUAGAAGAAUUGCAUGCCUUUUCAAUGGUAAUAAUGGGCUAUGUGGAGAUAUAAAUAAUUGGCUUAUGAGAGACUAAAGAUAUAAUGUUCUAAAAUCUUUAAAAAUUCAUAACUUCCAACUCCUUUGCAGGACUACAGUGCUAUGGAAAUAGAUGUCUUAUUCCCAGACAUAAUGUCUCCCAUUGUGUCAGGUAAUGAGAGUGUCAGCUACACAUUACUUUCAGCAACAAAUUCCUCUUUAUUUGUUUCCUAGGUCCUAAAAGCCUGAUCUCUUAUUUGCCUUCUUGCAUUUUAUUCCAUUGUACCCAAUACUCCUGAUUUUCCAGAAACAUGGGGUUGUGGGCACUGUGGAUUGCAUUGUAAAUUCAUGGAAUUGAGUUAAAUGAUAUGACUGUAUUGGUUUAAGGCCCAUCUUUUAAAAAUUAUCACGAAAUAUUUAGGUACACAAAAAGUACAGACUAUAUUAAAUCAGCACCUAUAUUCCCAUCACCCACCCUAAGAUAUGAAACAUUACUGACACAAUUGAAGCAGCUCAACUUUUCUCCCCUGAGGAAAUUCCUCACCAGUAUUUGGUGCUUUUCUUUUCUAUUCAUUUAUUCUUCCACUAUAUAUGCCCCCAUAAACACAUAUUUUUCAUGCUUCAAAUUUUAAAUAUCAUAUUCCUCUAAAACAUUCUUUGUUCAUCCAUGUUUCAUCCCUAUUUCAUAUGUAGCUCUAAUUAUUUUUUAUUGCCACAGUAUUCCAUUGUAUGACUAUCACAUAUAUCUAUUACUGAUGGAUAUUUAGAUUGUUUCCGGGUUCUUACUACUUAAAAAUAAUGGUGCUAUGAACUUUCCUAUUCACUAUCUCACUGCAUCAAUGUGAGACUUGCUCUGGGAUAUGCACCUAGGAGAACUGUUAGAUUGUAGGGUCUUCAACUUUGCUAGAUAGCCAGUUGCCUUCCAAAGUGGUUGUACCAAUUUAUGCUCCCAUCAGCAGAUCUGAGGCCCCACCCAUCACAUCCUGUGAGAUUACAAGCCCUUGGUAAGCAAGGCAUUAGCUUUUGGAAUCCUCUGAGACGAAGCUACAUUCCUGUAACUAGUCCAAGUGCUAGUUACCCCCAGGGCAUUUUUAGCUUGGCUCCAUGUUUUUAGGUUAAUUUGUAGGUUUUGAGGUUUCAUGAAUUUGAAGGUAGUGUGAAUUCAAAUCAUUCUAAAGCCAUGGGCAGGUAAGCUCAUAGUCAGAAUUCUCAGAGGUUUUUUUUUUUUUUUUUUUGAGACGGAGUCUCACUCUGUCACCCAGGCUGGAGUGCAGUGGCGCAAUCUCAGCUCACUGCAAGCUCCGUCUCCCGGGUUUACGCCAUUCUCCUGCCUCAGCCUCCCGAGUAACUGGGACUACAGGCGCCCACCACCAUUCCCGGCUAAUUUUUUGAAUUUUUAGUAGAGACGGGGUUUCACUGUGUUAGCCAGGAUGGUCUUGAUCUUCUGACCUCGUGAUCCGCCUGCCUCGGCCUCCCAAAGUGCUGGGAUUACAGGCAUGAGCCACCGCGCCCAGCCCAGAGAGGCCUCUUUUAAAAAAUGUUUUAAAAAUCAAAAGCACAGGCCAAGUCAGAAAGCCUCCUUGUGGUCUUCCUGGCCAGCAGGAGAUUUUUCUUUUCUUGUCUACCCUUGUGCUGAGAGUGUUGGUUAUUAUAGAGCUUGAGCAUUAUGUGCAGAGCUCAGUUGUCACUUCAUGUUAUAUGGGCUGAAGGCUUUGAGUGGCUAUUAAUAUCUAAACUUGUUGAUUGAGACUGCUACCCUCCUCCCCACCACCCAGCCUCCUGCACCAGAGUCAUUUCAAGCUUCUGGUUUUUAUUCUAUUGGGAAUGAGAUUUCUUUCAUUUCCUUGUUUAGGCCCUGAAGGAUAAGUUUUCCUCUUAUUUUCUUGUGCCCUUAGCCAUAUAUUUAAUAGGGAAGAAGGUAAGUUCCUCUCUUGUUUCAUAAUUUUCUAUGUAGAUAACAACUAAAGGGAACACAGAGCAUAAAAGUUUUGAGGUUGUAUUUAUUUCAAUAUGGAAGUCUUGUUUUCCAGAUCUGCAGCGUCCAAGAGAACCUUCUGAAUGAUGGGAAUGUUUUCUACUCUGUCCAGUGUGGCAGACCCUUGCCACAUGUAGCUAUUGAGCAUUUGAAAUGUGGCUGAUAUGUCUGAUAAACUAAUUCUUAAAUAUUAUUUAAUUGUAAUUAAUUUAAUUAAAAUGGUCAGAUACAAUUAGUGGUUAUUGUAUUUGACAACACAGUUCUAAGUGGUAAUAUUCUUUGUCCCCUAGGUGGGUUUAUGUACUGGUAAACCAGUGUUGUCUUGAAAAUCUGAUAUUUUUGAGGAUGUAAAUAUAUUUGAGGAUUAAAUAUUUGAGAUGUGACUUCAGAAUAUAUGUCACCACAGGCUGGGCAUGGUGGCUCACACCUGUAAUCUCAGCCCUUUGGGAAGCUGAGGCAGGAGGGUCACCUGAGGCCAGGAGUUGGAGACCAGCCUGGGCAACACAGCAAGACUCUGUCUCUCUGUUUAAAAAAAAAAAUUAGCCUGACAUGGCAGUGUGCACCUGUUGUCCUAGCUACUCAGGAGGCUGAGUCAGGAGGAUCACUUGAGCUCCAGGAGUUUGAAGGUGCAGUGAGCUACGACUGUGCCACUGCAUUCCAGCCUGGGUGACACAACAAGAUCCUAUCUCUAAACAAACAAACAAGGAAUGUAUGCCACCACAAAACUGUAUAGCCCAUUAUUUUGAUAAUCAGGUAUUUCUUGUCUGAUUUGUCUUUCUGGGAAUUUUCAAAGAUCUACAGUGAUCAAGUUUAAGUGCACAUUCUUCCCAUUGCCAGUUUCUGAUCUGAAGUCAGAGAAUCACUUUCUGAAAGCUUUUUCAAGAGUAUUUAUGAAGUAAUAAAGUGUGAAGAAAUCCUGAGGAUAAAUAACAAGAAGCAUAAAUAUACAUAUUUAGAAUGCAACAUAAUAUGUUUAAGAUUACAAUUUGGCGGCAGGGCGCAGUAGCUCAUGCCUGUAAUCCCAGCACUUUGGGAGGCCGAGGCGGGCGGAUCACGAGGUCAGGAGAUCGAGAUCAUCCUGGCUAACACGGUGAAACCCUGUCUCUAAUAAAAAAAAAAAAAAAAAAAAAUUAGCCAGGCAUGGUGGUGGGCACCUGUAGUCCCAGCUACUCAGGAGGCUGAGGCGGGAGAAUGGCGUAAGUAAACCCAGGAGGCAGAGCUUGCAGUGAGCCUAGAUCACGCCACUGCACUCUAGCCUGGGCGACAGAGCAGCGAGACUCUGUCUCAUAAAAAAAAAAAAGUACAAUUUGGCCUAUCUUUGAACUAAAAAGUUUACUGGUACCCUGAAAAUAUGUAUAAGUAAAAACAUGAAUGCUUCAUAUGAUUUAUUAAAAGCAUUUUAUGAAAAAAAAACAAAAACACAAAACCUCUCCAGGUAUGGUGGCUCACGCCUGUAAUCCCAGCACUUUGGGAGGCUCAGGUGGGUGGGUCACCUGAGGCCAGCAGUUCGAGACCGGCCUGGCUAACAUGGUGAAACCUUGUCUCUACUAAAAAUAUAAAAAUUAGCUGCGUGUGGUGGUGCACACCUGUAGUCCCAGCUACUCAGGAGGUUGAGGCAGGAGAAUUGCUUGAACUCAGGAGGCGGAGGUUGCAGUGAGCCAAGAUCGUGCCACUGCACUCCAGCUUAGGUGACAGAGUGAGACUCUGUCUCAAAAAAAAAAAAAAAAGACAAAACAACAACAAAAAAAACCCAAGCCUACUGAUCUAGGCUUAGAGUGGGCUUACACUUUCAAAGGGCAUUGUAUUAUACAAAAUAUCUCUCAAAAAAAAUUUUUUUGGCCAUAGGUAGAGAUU
rnacentral:lncRNA from 10 species